rnacentral:tRNA from 1 species
GGAAAUGUGCCCGAAAUAGGACCUCCUUGAUAGGGAAGACAAUAGGAGUUUAAGCCUCCUCAUUUCCU